AUACAGAGCAAGCAAGUAGGAAAGCUAGGCAUAGCACAGCAAAAGAGAGCACAGCAACAGAAGGCAAAGAAUGACAAAAAAGCAACCUUGCAGGAAUGGAGGACUCUGGCCAGAGCUGUGCCCCUGCUUGCCACAGGAGCUGCGCGGGAGGAGAAGAAUGUGGGCCAAAAGGAAUGGAGGACUCUGGCCAGAGCUGUGCCCCUGCUUGCCACAGGAGCUGCGCGGGAGGAGAAGAAUGUGGGCCAAAAGGUAAGAGGAGCUCCUUUGGGUUCUGGGCUUGAAGCAAAGCUGAGAAGCCAUGCCCGGGAGGAGGUGUGGGUAGCUACAGGCCAGCUUGCUAUCUCCCCAAGAGAUGAGGUGUGUGGGCUAGGCACCGGGCAGGAGUGCUGGCCAGAAGCAAGCAUCUCUGUGGAGGAAGGCAAAGGGCGGAGGAGGUUCAAGGGUAGCUACCCGGGCAUGGCCUUGCUCAGCAAGGGGAGGAAAAGCGUGAAGGGCACGAGAAGGGGACAGAGAAGGGCAGGCAGUAGGCGUGAAGCUGUGAGCAGAGUAGAGAGCAACUUGGCAGAGCAGCACGCAGAGUAGGCAAGUGUUGGGGUUUGGCGUGAGUAGCAGCAAAAGCCCAUAGCAUCAAGGAGCAGGAAGUGAGGAGAAGGUAAGUGAAGGGCAGGCAAGGUACUGGGAGGCAAAGGCAAGGGGAAAGGGGAGGGUAAGGGAGAAAAAGAGGGGAUGGGGAGGGGAGGGGAUGGGUGAAGAGCAGAGCGGAGGGAAGGGCUGAGGGGAGGGCUGAAGGCAAACCUAUGAUGAAAAAGAAAGAAAGAAAAAAUAAGAACAAAAAAUAUGAAAAAAGAGAAAAAAGAAAGAAAAAUAAGAAAAAGAGAAAAAAUGAAAGAAAAAAGAAAAAAUGAAUGAAAAAGAAAAAAGAUAAAAGACAAAAAGAAAAUGAACACAAAAGAAAAAAGAGAAAAGAAAAGAAAGAAAAUGAAAAAAAAGAGAAAAAAGAGAAAAAGAUAAAAAAGAAAAAAAAAAGAAAAGAAAAAACUAAUAGAUGAAAACAGAAAAAGCAUACAAAAAACCGAAUAAUGACAAGAGAAGAAAGGUAAAGAGAAAAGAAGAAAAAAGCCAAGUGAAAAAGUAAAGAAUAACUCAAAGGAAGGAGUGGAUGGCAAGAAAUACAGAGAAAGCAGUGCAUAGCAGAGCAAAGGAAAACCAAGGCAAAAAUAGCAGCCAAAGCCACGAGAAUCAAGAAGUCAGUGAAGAGCAGGAAAGGUAAGUUUCCCUUAAAGCGAGGGGGAAUGGUAGUGGAUGGGGGCAAAAGAGAGGGGAG
rnacentral:lncRNA from 7 species